rnacentral:rRNA from 1 species
ACUCAAGAAAAGAAUUUCAGUCCAACCUAAAGCCACCAUAUAACUUUUAAUUUCUGCUUUAGAGCAAUUCAAAUAAGGUACAGCCUAUUUGAACUAGGGCACAACCUCGACUAACGGGUAACUAUACUACAACCAGAACCAAGUUGGCCUAAGAGCAGCCACCUUAAGUAGAGCGUCAAAGCCUAAUUCUAACUGUACUUGAUACCUUAAUCUAUAAAGAACCCUUUACCAAUAUUGAGUAAUUCUAUACCCCUAUAGAAAUUUUUAUGUUAAAACUAGUAACAAGAAGACACCCUUCUCUUAAUGCAAGUGUAAAUCAAACUAAACCAUCACUGAUCCUUACACAGCCUAACAAACAGUACCCUCCCCAGAGAACCCUAUUUUACCUACUGUUAAUCUAACACUAGAGCAUUUCAAGAAAGAUUAAAAGAAAAAGAAGGAACUCGGCAAAUAUUGAUCCCGCCUGUUUACCAAAAACAUCGCCUCUUGCCACAAAUAAGAGGUCCAGCCUGCCCAGUGACAUUAGUUUAACGGCCGCGGUAUCCUGACCGUGCGAAGGUAGCGUAAUCACUUGUUUUUUAAAUAAAGACUAGUAUGAAAGGCACCACGAGGAUCAAACUGUCUCCUUUUUUUGAUCUGUGAAACUAAUCUCCCCGUGAAAAAGCGGGAAUUUUUUUAUAAGACGAGAAGACCCUAUGGAGCUUCAGACAAAAUAAUAACUGCACCUAUUAACCAAUUUGAGAAAAAUCACUUACAGCAUAUUAAUUAUCUAGUCUUGGGUUGGGGCGACCACGGAGUAAAACUAACCCUCCGCGCUGAAAAGGACCCUCCUUAAAUAAGAGCUACAGCUCUACACAUCAACAUAUUGACACCAUUGACCCAAUAUUUGAUCAACGAAACAAGUUACCCUAGGGAUAACAGCGCAAUCCACUUCAAGAGCCCUUAUCAACAAGUGGGUUUACGACCUCGAUGUUGGAUCAGGGUAUCCCAGUGGUGCAGCCGCUACUAAAGGUUCGUUUGUUCAACGAUUGAAACCCUACGUGAUCUGAGU